AAACCGUACCAUACCAAACCGGACCAGUUGAUGGAAAUGGGACUUAUGUGGCUGCUGGAAUCAGUAGUAUUCAGACUGUUUUGAGAACUUUGAUGUUUACAUUUAUUUGUCGCCCCCAUUCUUCAGAUAAAUUAUAUUGGGACUAACUGAUAUCAGAUUCAGUGCUAUAUUAUAGCAAUCUGAGAUGAGGUACAGUUGUCUUAUUGAGCGUUACUGACUGAUGCAUAUUUUAAUAUAAUGUAUAUGUGGGUGUUUUUUUUACUCUGGCUUCUUAUGUUUUUAUUUUGGGGCUGUGAGUCUGUAAUAAAGAUUUAAUCACUUGAACAAAUGUAAAGAUUUCCCCAGGUUGUCAGCAUCCUUGGGGCCCGGCCCCCGCCCCUCAGGAACGCUUGGAGCCGCCCCUGUCCACAGUCUUCAUUCCUGCGACACGCCGAGCAGCAUUAGCAUCAGCCUCUCAAACUGCGCGUCCACCUGCCGGUCCGGAGAGGAUGUGUCACGCAGGAUAUUCCCAUCCACGCGGUUUUCCCACAUUUCCUCCUGCUUGUGACGCUGCUGGCCUCUAGGAGCUGCGACAUGGCCAGAUAAGCGUUUUCUAAUUCCUUUGGUUGUUUUCCGGCAUGCGACGGGCUCUCAUCGACACACUCCGGCUUUCCUUCUGUCCUACUGGAGCAAUGCGAAAGGAAAUGCGGCUGCGGAUCCACCACAAGGAGAAGCCUCGCGGGGCGGAUGCUGGUGCGCGCGGGCUCCUGGGAAUCGUGGCCUUACAAGUGCUCUGAUAUGUUCCCGCUGCCUUGGACGUCUGGGCUCGUGUCAAGACUGGAGAUACGAGUUGACACGAGACGCGCGGAUAAAGGAUGCGUCGUUCGGAGCUGUCACCGGGACUGGGGAUUUACUGGCGACCGGCACAGCUGCUGUGGAGAGCACGAGACAUGACAACCCCGAGAAAAGAGAUAGAUUUCUGAAUCCGUUGCUCUUGUUUAGGGAAAUCUGCCCCUCCAUCAGCAAACGGGUUUUAAAUAAAGAUUUGCACCCCUGACGAGGCUGUCCUUGCGCCUGCUGCUCCUUCUCUGUGGGACCGGACAGGUGGAUAUUUCCUGUAGAAAUCACGAGACUUCCACUCCAGUCAGCAGUCGGUGUGGAUCAGUGACGACGGCAGCAUGGAGCUGCAGUGACCUCAGGAAGCAGCGUCAGUGUUUGCAUCGGUCUGACUGAUGGACCGCGGUGGAGAAGCGGCCGUCCGUCCCAUCGUCACGGCUCGGAUCAGAAGCAUCAAACUCUCUGACCACCAUGAAGAAAAUUCUGACACUGUUCCUGAAGAGAACCACUGAAACCAGACGUCUGAAAAGGGACCUUCUUGAGAUGGAGCCAUGUGGACUGAGGUGUUUUUUUCCCU